UUAAUAAUUAAUAAUAAAAGUGAAACAAAUGAAAAAAAAAUGAGUAAACAAAGAUUCACCCUAUAAUCUUUACGGAGCAAAAAUAAGAAACACACAACAGCUAAGUCCCGCUCAAAUUUUCACGCCUAAGUAUUCCCUCUCAAAUUUUCACUCCUAAGUAUCAAUUCCCUCUAACAAGAAGAAAACACAGCAGCUUCGCACCGCCACCUGCCGCCCCACCCGACCGUCGCGCCACCUGACGUCCCACCCCAG
rnacentral:lncRNA from 1 species